CGAGAGAGAGAAGCAGAGAAAUGGAAGGGUUGAGAGGCUCCUCCGAUUACUCUGAAGAGCCCCCCUCGUCACCCAUGCUCAGAAUCAAUGCUAAGGAGCCCUUCAAUGCCGAGCCACCGCGCGCUACUCUCAUCUCCUCAUACAUCACCCCCCGUCGAUUUCUUCUUCAAGAGAAAUCAUGGGCCGAUUCCAGUGGUCGACGACAUUAACAGCUACUAUGUUUCCAUUGGUGGUCUUUGUGGAAAAUCCGAUGCAGCUAUCGCUGGCUGAUAUCAGGAAACUACCCCAAGUACAAUGUGACUGCCACUUUGCAGUGUGCAGGUAAUAGGAGGACAGCAAUGAGUAACACAAGGGCUGUGCGAGGUGUUGGUUGGGACGUCUGUGCUCUUGGGAAUGCAAUCUGGGGAGGAGCCAAGUUAUCAGAUGUCCUUGAGCUCGUUGGUUUAUCAAAACACACUGCAGUCACAUCAUUAGGAGGAAAGCAUGUUGAAUUCAUUAGUGUUGACAAGUGUCCAGAGGAAAAUGGCGGUCCCUAUAAGGCAUCAAUUCCCUUGGAUCAGGCAACAAAUCCUGCAGCAGAUGUCUUACUUGCAUAUGAAAAUGAACGGAGAGAUACUCAAACGUGACCAUGGAUAUCCACUACGUGUGAUUGUUCCUGGUGUUAUUGUGCACGCUCUGUUAAAUGGUUGGAUCGCAUUGACAUAAUUGAGGAAGAAUGCCAGGGAUUCUUUAUGCAAAAGGACUACAAAAUGUUUCCACCUACAGUUGAUUGGGAUAAUAUUGAUUGGUCAACCAGGAAGCCACAAAUGGAUUUUCCUGUGCAGUGUGCUAUUUGUUCCUUGGAAGGUGUGGAUGUUGUUAAGCAAGGAGAGGUUACUCUUGGUGGAUAUGCUGUGUCUGGAGGUGGGCGUGGCAUUGAGAGAGUAGACAUAUCUGUUGAUGGAGGCAAGACCUGGGUGGAAGCUUUUAGAUAUCAGAAGAGUAAUAUCCCAUAUAUAUCCACUGAUGUAAGCAGUGAUAAAUGGGCUUGGGUUUUCUUCAAGGCUGUUGUUGACAUAACUGGAGAUUCUGAGAUUAUUGCUAAAGCGGUUGAUUCAUCUGCAAAUGUCCAACCUGAAAAGGUAGAGUUCAUAUGGAACCUGAGAGGAAUACUCAACACAUCAUGGCAUCGUGUUUGCGUUCAACCUGAACCAUGAUUCACCAGCUCCAGUUUAUAAAGUCAACAACCGGAGUGUCAAGGCCAGUCAAGUAUGAAGUGGUUUUGUCUCCUCCUAUCAAUCUGUUGUAAUGUGAUAUGAGAACAAAGAUGUCAUGCUUGUUCUUUAAACUUUUAUCAGGUCUUGUUCUGGAGGAAUAACCAUCUAAAAUAUGUUUGCUAUAACUAUCUUAGAUGUGCGGGUCUUACUUCUAAGAGUUGAAGCCCUUUUGGCUUCAAUUGUUCCUCUAUGUACUUGUUUUCUUCUCUUAUGUAAGAUGCUUUCUUUAUAUUUUGGAAAACUCUCAUGGAACUAUUCAUUUCUA